CAGAAGAACAGUGAGGGUUAGGCGAUGGAGAUUAAUAACUUGCCCAGGGUCAUACAGAAUAUAAGCCCCCUGAGGGUAAAGACUAUUUCCAGGAUGCAGUGGAUGAUCUUGUGGUCUUCCAUGUCUAAGCAAGCUCAGAAGUGCUCCACAGCACCUGCUUCAGUCAGAAGAAAGAUACAACCGAAACGCCGUGCCCUGAAAAAUCCUGCUCGUUGUUUGGACCCUGAAACACAUGGCUCCUUCUGGCUAGGAUAACAAGACCUUUUCUUUGAAGGCUGCAUGGAUCACAGAAGCAAGAGCGGCACUCGGAGCAACCCCUUCAAAGAAAAAGAGGGCAGAGGAACCCCCACUCAGAGGCUGUGUUCUCAGUGGGGACCUUCAUUGCUUGGAUUGAAGAAUAUUCUCAUCAAAACCGUAGAGUAGAAAGAGGAAAGACUCGAGAACUAUAAACCUGAGUUCAAAUCCCAACUCUGAAGCAGACUAAUUGAGUGCAAGUUAUUUAAUCUUCUGGGCUUCUGUUUUCUCAUCUGAAAAAGGAGAGGGGUGAGGGCAGCUAGGUAGCACAGUGGAUGUGCUCCAGGCUGGAGUUGUGAGUGGGGGGACCUGAGUUCAAAUAGGACCUCAGACAUUUCCUAGCUAUGAGACCCUGGGGAAAUGACUUAUCCCUCAUUGCCUAGCUCUUGCUUCUCUUCUGUCUUAGAAUUGAUACUAAAACAGAAGAAAAGGAGGGGAUUAGAAAAGAUGAGUCCUGAGGUCCCUUCCAGCUCUCCAUCUACCAGGAUUCUGUUUUUCCUAGCUUGGUACUGAAUUCUAAAAGGCAAGAUCUAUCUCUCUAUGCAGCUGCUAUUCCCACAGUGGCACAAAGCAAUAAUAAUAAUAACAUAGUAUUUUAUGUGCAUGUGUUAUAUAUGCAUGUAUAUAUGUAACCUAUGUGCAUAUAUGUACACACACCUAUGUGAAAGGCUACGAUCCAUACUGCUUGGAAGGCCAGGUAGGUUAGAUUUCUACCUUUCCCCUGAGGUUCUCUGGUACCCUUAAGGGGACUAAGUUCUCUCCAAUGGCUCCUGCUCCACCAGUGGGGCUCCCACAAUUAGGAGUGCCUCCCUGUACCAUAAUUCCAUUUGGUCACUAACAAUCAGAUUCAAUUUUACACAAAACUAUUUAUUUCAGAAGCUAUAAUCACAAAUACACAAAUAUACAAACUUAUUUUCCCAACAUAUUGGAGGCAUAAUCCUCCUUCUUCAUCAGCACCUUA
rnacentral:lncRNA from 1 species